rnacentral:rRNA from 1 species
GAUGAACGCUAGCUACAGGCUUAACACAUGCAAGUCGCGGGGCAGCAUGGGGGUUGCUUGCAAUCCCCGAUGGCGACCGGCGCACGGGUGAGUAACGCGUAUCCAACCUGCCCUUCACCACGGGAUAACCCGGCGAAAGUCGGACUAAUACCGUAUGUUGUCCAUUGACGGCAUCCGAUUUGGACGAAAGGCUUGGCGGUGAGGGAUGGGGAUGCGUCCGAUUAGCCAGACGGCGGGGUAACGGCCCACCGUGGCUACGAUCGGUAGGGGUUCUGAGAGGAAGGUCCCCCACACUGGAACUGAGACACGGUCCAGACUCCUACGGGAGGCAGCAGUGAGGAAUACUGGUCAAUGGGCGUAAGCCUGAACCAGCCAAGUAGCGUGCAGGAUGACGGCCCUAUGGGUUGUAAACUGCUUUUAUGCGGGGAUAAAGUGGCCCACGUGUGGGCUUUUGCAGGUACCGCAUGAAUAAGGACCGGCUAAUUCCGUG